rnacentral:lncRNA from 1 species
GCCUCCUCAAAUUUAAAUGAUAUCUGCCUUUCUAAAUUGUUUCACAGUGAGGUGUGCUUUGAAGUACUGAAAUUCUGUAUUUUUCUAUUUUGAAAAAUUAAAUUCUAAUACUAGGUGUAGAGAUAUUUACUAAUCUAAUUAGAAUGAAGAAUUAUAGCUUGGCUUUCAUAUUGUUUGAUCAACAAGCUACAAAAUAUAUAGAAUCGGAC